AGAGUUUGAUCCUGGCUCAGGAUGAACGCUGGCGGUAUGCCUAACACAUGCAAGUCGUACGAGAGUUUUUAACUCAAGUGGCGGACGGGUGAGUAACACGUGAGAAUUUGCCUUUAGGAGGGGGACAACAACUGGAAACGGUUGCUAAUACCCCAUAUGCUUUCGAGUGAAAUGAAUUUAUUCGCCUGAAGAGAAGCUCGCGGCUGAUUAGCUUGUUGGUAGGGUAAUAGCCUACCAAGGCGACGAUCAGUAUCUGGUUUGAGAGGACGACCAGACACACUGGAACUGAGACACGGUCCAGACUCCUACGGGAGGCAGCAGUGGGGAAUUUUCCGCAAUGGGCGAAAGCCUGACGGAGCAAUACCGCGUGAGGGAA
rnacentral:rRNA from 1 species